UCUAUUCUUGUUUACAUGAAAUUGCUCUUUUGGUUACUUGAAUUUACAGAGUACACACAGUCUGAAUAGUGAAAUAUGUGUAAUCAUAAUCUGUGCAAGAAAAAUCAGUUCAAGGGCUUGAAAAUUGGACAGAUUAGGCCUGAAAUAGGCAUAUUUUAAUUGAUUUUGAAGGAAAACAAGCAGAUUUUCACAUUCUAGACUUGCAUAUUGGUUUCCUUAAUGCUUAAUUGAGCAUAAAUCAUCAUAUCUGAGGUCCUGAAUUGUAUAUUUACUUAUUCUGUUGGAUUUCUUACACUUUUAGUACCUAAAAACCUGAAAUGAGAGCACUCGGACAAUGUGAAGUUUAAUUGUCGCAUAGAUGGAGAUUGACCGCCUUUGUACAUAUAUGUCUACAGCUUCUCAGAUUUGACCGAAGACAGUUGUUCGGUGUUGUGAAUGGGUGUUGUUCGGCUGAAGGCCUUCCAGUCACACAGCCUUUCAGUCACACAGAAGAUCCUGGUUCGGUCACACGAAGGGUCACUUCCAUUGGUAUUAGUCACUGGAAAAACUAGGAGCACCAGUUGUAGUUUCUCAGAGUGGAGAAUUGAAACUGGCAGACUUUGGUUUGGCAAGGGCUUUUGGUAUUCCAGUUAGAUUUUUUUCAGCAGAGAAAUGCUGGAAGACCAUUGUUUCCAGGAAAUGAUGUUGAAGACCAACUGAAGAGAAUUUUUGAAUUACUGGGUACACCUACUGAAGACACUUGGCCAAAUAUCACACACCUUCCAGAUUAGAAA